rnacentral:rRNA from 1 species
GACGCACCGUGCGACCGUUGUUCGGAAUCACUGGGCUUAAAGGGCGCGUAGGCGGUCGGCCGCGUCCGGGGUGAAAUCCCACGGCUCAACCGUGGAACGGCCUCGGAUACGGGCGGCCUCGAGGGGGGUAGGGGCAUCUGGAACUGUGAGUGGAGCGGUGAAAUGCGUUGAUAUUCACAGGAACGCCGGUGGCGAAGGCGAGGUGCUGGACCCCAUCUGACGCUGAGGCGCGAAAGCCAGGGGAGCGAACGGG